rnacentral:rRNA from 1 species
CCUACGGGAGGCAGCAGUGGGGGAUAUUGCACAAUGGGGGAAACCCUGAUGCAGCGACGCCGCGUGGGUGAAGAAGCGCCUCGGCGCGUAAAGCCCUGUCAGCAGGGAAGAAAAUGACGGUACCUGAAGAAGAAGCCCCGGCUAACUACGUGCCCGCAGCCGCGGUAAUACGUAGGGGGCAAGCGUUAUCCGGCUUUACUGGGUGUAAAGGGGGCGCAGACGGCGAUGCAAGCCAGGAGUGAAAGCCCGGGGCCCAACCCCGGGACUGCUCUUGGAACUGCGUGGCGAGAGUGCAGGAGGGGCAGGCGGAAUUCCUGGUGUAGCGGGGAAAUGCGUAGAUAUCAGGAGGAACACCGGUGGCGAAGGCGGCCUGCUGGACUGCAACUGACGUUGAGGCCCGAAAGCGUGGGGAGCAAACAGGAGUAGAUACCCCAGUAGUC